GAUGAACGCUGGCGGCGUGCCUAAUACAUGCAAGUCGAGCGAACAGACGAGGAGCUUGCUCCUCUGACGUUAGCGGCGGACGGGUGAGUAACACGUGGAUAACCUACCUAUAAGACUGGGAUAACUUCGGGAAACCGGAGCUAAUACCGGAUAAUAUAUUGAACCGCAUGGUUCAAUAGUGAAAGACGGUUUUGCUGUCACUUAUAGAUGGAUCCGCGCCGCAUUAGCUAGUUGGUAAGGUAACGGCUUACCAAGGCAACGAUGCGUAGCCGACCUGAGAGGGUGAUCGCCCACACGGGAACUGAGACACGGUCCAGACCCCAGGGGGGGGCAGCAGUGGGGAAUCUUCCGAAGGGGGCGAAAGCCGGACGGAGAAACGCCGGGUGAGUGAUAAGGGUCUUGGAAUCGAAAACCUCUUUUAUGAGGAAAAAAAAAAUGUGAAAGAACAUGUGCACUUUUGGACGGUACCAAAAAAAAAACCCACGACUAACUACGUC
rnacentral:rRNA from 1 species